rnacentral:rRNA from 1 species
GACGGUACCUGCAGAAGAAGCACCGGCUAACUACGUGCCAGCAGCCGCGGUAAUACGUAGGGUGCGAGCGUUGUCCGGAAUUAUUGGGCGUAAAGAGCUCGUAGGCGGUCUGUCACGUCGGAUGUGAAAGCCCGGGGCUUAACCCCGGGUCUGCAUUCGAUACGGGCAGACUAGAGUGUGGUAGGGGAGAUCGGAAUUCCUGGUGUAGCGGUGAAAUGCGCAGAUAUCAGGAGGAACACCGGUGGCGAAGGCGGAUCUCUGGGCCAUUACUGACGCUGAGGAGCGAAAGCGUGGGGAGCGAACAGGAUUAGAUACCCUGGUAGUCCACGCCGUAAACGUUGGGAACUAGGUGUUGGCGACAUUCCACGUCGUCGGUGCCGCAGCUAACGCAUUAAGUUCCCCGCCUGGGGAGUACGGCCGCAAGGCUAAAACUCAAAGGAAUUGACGGGGGCCCGCACAAGCAGCGGAGCAUGUGGCUUAAUUCGACGCAACGCGAAGAACCUUACCA